rnacentral:rRNA from 1 species
CCUACGGGAGGCAGCAGUGGGGAAUUUUGGACAAUGGGCGAAAGCCUGAUCCAGCAAUGCCGCGUGAGUGAAGAAGGCCUUCGGGUUGUAAAGCUCUUUUGUCAGGGAAGAAACGGUGAGAGCUAAUAUCUCUUGCUAAUGACGGUACCUGAAGAAUAAGCACCGGCUAACUACGUGCCAGCAGCCGCGGUAAUACGUAGGGUGCAAGCGUUAAUCGGAAUUACUGGGCGUAAAGCGUGCGCAGGCGGUUUUGUAAGUCUGAUGUGAAAUCCCCGGGCUCAACCUGGGAAUUGCAUUGGAGACUGCAAGGCUAGAAUCUGGCAGAGGGGGGUAGAAUUCCACGUGUAGCAGUGAAAUGCGUAGAUAUGUGGAGGAACACCGAUGGCGAAGGCAGCCCCCUGGGUCAAGAUUGACGCUCAUGCACGAAAGCGUGGGGAGCAAACAGGAUUAGAUACCCUGGUAGUCCACGCCCUAAACGAUGUCUACUAGUUGUCGGGUCUUAAUUGACUUGGUAACGCAGCUAACGCGUGAAGUAGACCGCCUGGGGAGUACGGUCGCGAAGAUUAAAACGUCAAAAGUGAAAUUGACCGGGCUUGGACGUUAGCGACCGGACGGACACCCGAGGGAGGGUUAAGGGAGG